UCUCCGUAGGUGAUCCUGCGGAGGGAUUAUUACUGAGUGAGGGCUCACGCCCGACCUCCAACCCUUUGUGAACCAAACUUGUUGCUUCGGGGGCGACCCUGCCGACGACUUCGUCGCCGGGCGCCCCCGGAGGCUCAUCAAACACUGCAUCUUUGCGUCGGAGUCUUAAUGAAUUUGAACAAAACUUUUAACAACGGAUCUCUUGGUUCUGGCAUCGAUGAAGAACGCAGC
rnacentral:misc_RNA from 1 species